rnacentral:rRNA from 1 species
UGCAGUCUACUUGAACUUCGGUUUGGGUGGCGGACGGGUGAGUAACGCGUAAAGAACUUGCCUCACAGUUAGGGACAACAUUUGGAAACGAAUGCUAAUACCUGAUAUUAUGAUUUUAGGGCAUCCUAAGAUUAUGAAAGCUAUAUGCGCUGUGAGAGAGCUUUGCGUCCCAUUAGCUAGUUGGAGAGGUAACGGCUCACCAAGGCGAUGAUGGGUAGCCGGCCUGAGAGGGUGAACGGCCACAAGGGGACUGAGACACGGCCCUUACUCCUACGGGAGGCAGCAGUGGGGAAUAUUGGACAAUGGACCAAAAGUCUGAUCCAGCAAUUCUGUGUGCACGAUGACGUUUUUCGGAAUGUAAAGUGCUUUCAGUUGGGAAGAAAAAAAUGACGGUACCAACAGAAGAAGUGACGGCUAAAUACGUGCCAGCAGCCGCGGUAAUACGUAUGUCACAAGCGUUAUCCGGAUUUAUUGGGCGUAAAGCGCGUCUAGGUGGUUAUGUAAGUCUGAUGUGAAAAUGCAGGGCUCAACUCUGUAUUGCGUUGGAAACUGCAUGACUAGAGUACUGGAGAGGUAAGCGGAACUACAAGUGUAGAGGUGAAAUUCGUAGAUAUUUGUAGGAAUGCCGAUGGGGAAGCCAGCUUACUGGACAGAUACUGACGCUAAAGCGCGAAAGCGUGGGUAGCAAACAGGAUUAGAUACCCUGGUAGUCCACGCCGUAAACGAUGAUUACUAGGUGUUGGGGGUCGAACCUCAGCGCCCAAGCUAACGCGAUAAGUAAUCCGCCUGGGGAGUACGUACGCAAGUAUGAAACUCAAAGGAAUUGACGGGGACCCGCACAAGCGGUGGAGCAUGUGGUUUAAUUCGACGCAACGCGAGGAACCUUACCAGCGUUUGACAUCUUAGAAUGAGACAGAGAUGUUUCAGUGUCACUUCGGUGAACCUAAAGACAGGUGGUGCAUGGCUGUCGUCAGCUC